rnacentral:lncRNA from 1 species
CUUAUAAUGAUAAACUUCUUCCAUGGCUGACUUCAAGCUCUCAAUACAAUGUUACUGAAUGCAAGAUGGAAAGAAAAGUGCAGAAUCCACUCUUGAGCCUCCUGAGGACAUCACUGGUUUAAUACUAAUUCAAGUAACGGGCAGAAGAACUUUUAGAGCCCAUCCAUCAUGUCAGUGAAAAAUGUGGCUGGCAGUGAAGUUUUGGAGAGUAAGAUUGCAAGUACACGAACUUUUGCUGGGAAAUGUGUUUGUUCUUAAGAGCUUUCAUCACAAGGUUUCUUUUGAAGCUCAUCUAGCAAAUCAGAUACUAAGCAAUUGUAAUGGAAGAUUAAAAGCAAUUUCAUCACGUUAGAGCAAAAGAACUAUUCAAAAUUUACUUACAAUUGUUCCACUAAUGUACCUGACACUAAGAAACCUCCUGUGUAGGUUGAAAGUCUUCUGUCUUCCCCCAAGAAUACCACGGUUAUUGUUCAGAAUUGUUCAAUACCCAAAGUAUCAAUUGGCCUGGACGCAAUGGUUAUUUUCCUUGAUCUACAUUGUGAAAUUCAUAUAAUUACAUUUUAAUUCUUCUAAAACAGUCUUUUUUCAGCUUAUGUUAAUUGGCUAUGCUAUCUAGCCUAGUUCAUUAUUUGCAUAGUUUACAAAUACUUUAUCAUUUGAGGCUUUGGUAUCUGGAUAAUAAUCAUUUACAUUUCUAAAGUUCACAUCAACACUGGCUAUUCUUUUUAAUGUAUUUUUAAAAGUCUCU